rnacentral:rRNA from 1 species
UACGGAGGGUGCAAGCGUUAUCCGGAUUCACUGGGUUUAAAGGGUGCGUAGGCGGCUUGCCAAGUCAGUGGUGAAAGCCCGCGGCUUAACCGUGGAAUUGCCAUUGAAACUGGCUGGCUCGAGUAUGAUUGAAGUGGAUGGAAUACAUCAUGUAGCGGUGAAAUGCUUAGAUAUGAGGUAGAACACCAAUUGCGAAGGCAGUUCACUAAGUCAUAACUGACGCUGAGGCACGAAAGCGUGGGGAGCAAACAGG